GGCAGGUGCAUGUAAGUGUCUGCUUUUAUUUGGGUUGAUGCGGAUUGCAAAUCCGUUUACAGCGGUUCGAUUCCGCUUGAGGCCUCCA
rnacentral:tRNA from 3 species